rnacentral:rRNA from 1 species
GACGAACGCUGGCGGCGUGCCUAACACAUGCAAGUUGAGCGCUGACGGGUGGUACUUGUACCAUUUGGAUGAGCAGCGAACGGGUGAGUAACGUGUGGGGAAUACGCCUUGGUGCGGGGGACAACAUUUGGAAACGAAUGCUAAUACCGCAUAAAAACUUUAAACACAAGUUUUAAGUUUGAAAGACGCAAUUGCAUCACUCAAAGCUGAUUCCGCGUUGUAUUAGCUAGUUGGUGAGGUAAAGGCUCACCAAGGCGAUGAUACAUAGCCGACCUGAGAGGGUGAUCGGCCACAUUGGGACUGGGACACGGCCCAAACCCCUUCGGGAGGGAGCAGUAGGGAAUCUUCGGCAAUGGGCGAAAGUCUGACCGAGCAACGCCGGGUGAGUGGAGAAGGUUUUCGGAUCGUAAAACUCUGUUGGUAGGGAAGAACGUUAGUGAGAGUGGAAAGCUCAUCAAGUGACGGUAACUACACAGAAAGGAACGGCUAACUACGUG